AAAGAAAAGAAAGCAACAAUAUAUUUUCAGACGCUGUGGCAGUCUAGACUUGUCACAUAUUGAAGACUUGUAUGUGACAGGACAGGUACACACUUCAGUUUGCCCGGUACUUCACGGACAGGUACACACUUCAGUUUGCCCGGUACUUCACGGACAGGUACACACUUCAGUUUGCCCAGUACUUCGCGUACAGGUACACACUUCAGUUUGCCCAGUACCUCACGGACAGGUACACACUUCAGUUUGCCCAGUACUUCACGGACAGGUACACACUUCAGUUUGCCCAGUACUUCACGGACAGGUACACACUUCAGUUUGCCCAGUACUUCACGUACAGGUACACACUGCGGACAAGCAAUAUAGUCUGCAAUACGGCAUUUUCCCUCCGUACUUUAUUCAUGAUAAGUUAUUAUUUUAACUCUGUUAUCAUAUUUCAGUAUUAAAUGUAUUUUUCACA